UUUAGUUUCAUGGUACAGGAGAAGGGUCACACUACCACCAGGGUCAUAAAACUACCCCUGGAAAUGCCCACAACUCCUACGAAAGCCUUGUCAAAUAGGUGUUUCUUUAGGUUCACGGUACAGAAGAAGGGUCACACUACCACCAGGGUCAUAAAACUACCCCUGGAAAUGCCCACAACUCCUACGAAAGCCUUAUCAAAUAGGUGUUUCUUAGGUUCGUGGUACAGAAGAAGGGUCACACUACCACCAGGGUCAUAAAACUACCCCUGGAAAUGCCCAUAACUCCUUCGAAAGCCUUGUCAAAUAGGUGUUUCUUAGGUUGAUGGUACAGAAGAAGGGUCAAACUACCACCAGGGUCAUAAAACUACCCCUGAAAAUGCCCACAACUCCUACGAAAGCCUUGUCAAAUAGGUGUUUCUUAGGUUCAUGGUACAGAAGAAGGGUCAAACUACCACCAGGGUCAUAAAACUACCCCUGGAAAUGCCCAUAACUCCUACGAAAGCCUUGUCAAAUAGGUGUUUCUUAGGUUCAUGGUACAGAAGAAGGGUCAAACUACCACCAGGGUCAUAAAACUACCCCUGGAAAUGCCCACAACUCCUACGAAAGCCUUGUCUAGGAGUCUUCAUCAGCGUCUGGGGCAUCACAUCAAGGGUCAGUUUUACAGUCCAAUCCAACAAGUUUGUAAGCUCUCUAACGAUGAGAAGUCCUUGUAGCUCCAGUGUUUAGCUUUGAUAUAAAUAAAACGAGGGAAUAUUCGGAAACUACACAGGAAAUCUCUUUAUCAGUGUGUGGUAUUAAGUAGAAAUAACUCAUCUUUGUCGUGAAUGCUUCGUUCGGACCCUCACGAUGACUAAUGGGCGCUUACACAGUCGUUUUGUCUGUUUCGAUAAUUACCAAUGGCUGUUAUCGCUGCUGUAGUAUUCCCACGUCAAACUGUCCGAUGGGGUAGUGGCGGCUGCGGGGUUAGCCAGGCCCCGCACCUUGCCACACACUCUCAACACCUCUCGCCCCCUCUGCAGCCGCCACUACCCCAUAGGCCAGCUUCACGUGGGAAACUAUAGCGUUGACCCCCGCUAUUGUUAACGAUCAAAACGGAUUGUGAAAGCGGGCCUAUGCAUUAGACUGUCCAAUUGGCCACAAGACAGACAGGCCGUGAUUGACCUUGUGGAAACUCUCUUCUUUGGCCUUCCAGCGUUGUGAUCUUCGUGGUCCCAACAAGGUUUUCAAAUCGUUUCAGCAUCUCGAGCUUGAGUGUGUCUGGGGCAUGCUCUCAUCUGCCGACUAAUAUAUAUAAGUAUAUCUAAGGAGCUAUACGUUCGAUUACAUGUUAUGAUCAAAUAAUGGUAAUGUUAUAUACAGCCAUCUCGCAUCCUUUCCCCCUGCCUCCAUUAUCAUCUCAGCCCAGCUUCCUUCUUCCCACGUGUGCUGCCCAUCUCCUAUCCCUCGCCAUCAUCUAGUUUGCACAUAUUCCUGUGAACGCAUGAAAAUAAAUGCAAUCUUCUA